UCACUUUAGAAAUCAAAAUCAGACUCUUUAAAUCAACUUCUCAGGCAAUCUUUCUUUAUGGAGGAAAAACUUGGAAUACCUCUACUCAAAAAGCAUCAAACACCAUUAACAGCUUUAAUACAAUAUUCCUUAAAUCAAUGCUUGGAUACUCAUGGAAAAAGUACAUUCAUAGUUCCAUUAUCCCUAAUUGAAACUCUUCACUGCAGGCAAUUCAAAUGGCUUGGACACUAUUUGAGAUAUUCUCCACUUCCACAUUUCAUUACUCUAGGACUUUACACACCCUCCAAUAGCAGAAGAUGGAAAGGAAGACCAUCCAAAUAAUACUGGCAGUACAUCAACCACAUUAUUGGCUCC
rnacentral:lncRNA from 1 species